AGCGAACGCUGGCGGCAGGCUUAACACAUGCAAGUCGAGCGGGCAUCCUUGUGGUGUCAGCGGCAGACGGGUGAGUAACGCGUGGGAACGUGCCCUUCGGUUCGGAAUAACUCAGGGAAACUUGAGCUAAUACCGGAUACGUGCGAGAGCAGAAAGGUUUAUCUGCCGAAGGAUCGGCCCGCGUCUGAUUAGCUAGUUGGUGAGGUUACGGCUCACCAAGGCGACGAUCAGUAGCUGGUCUGAGAGGAUGAUCAGCCACACUGGGACUGAGACACGGCCCAGACUCCUACGGGAGGCAGCAGUGGGGAAUAUUGGACAAUGGGGGCAACCCUGAGCCAGCCAUGCCGCGUGAGUGAUGACGGCCUUAGGGUUGUAAAGCUCUUUUCUCCGGGACGAUAAUGACGGUACCGGAGGAAUAAGCCCCGGCUAACUUCGUG
rnacentral:rRNA from 1 species